UAAGACCAGCACCUCAAGUGGUCAGGAGGAUUAUUGGGCCUAAAGCAUCCGUAGCCUGCUCUGUAAGUUUUCGGUUAAAUCUAUAUGCUCAACGUAUAGGCCGCCGAAAAUACUGCAGUGCUAGGAAGUGGGAGAGGUAGACGGUACUUGAUAGGAAGGGGUAAAAUCCUUUGAUCUAUCGAUGACCACCUGUGGCGAAGGCGGUCUACCAGAACACGUUCGACGGUGAGGGAUGAAAGCUGGGGGAGCAAACCGGAUUAGAUACCCGGGUAGUCCCAGCUGUAAACGAUGCAGACUCGAUGAUGCAUUGGCAUAUAGCCAGUGCAGUGUCGCAGGGAAGCCGUUAAGUCUGCCGCCUGGGAAGUACGUACGCAAGUAUG
rnacentral:rRNA from 2 species